AGGGCACAUGAAGGAUGCCUUGGCACUGGCAGGCGAUGAAGGACGUGGUAAGCUGCGAAAAGCUUCGGUGAGCCGCACUCAGGCUGUGACCCGAAGAUGUCCGAAUGGGGCAACCCGGCUGGAGUAAUGUCCAGUCAUCGGCAACUGAAUAAAUAGGUUGUCGAAGCGAUACUCAGGGAAGUGAAACAUCUCAGUACCUGAAGGAAAAGAAAUCAACCGAGAUUGCGCAAGUAGUGGCGAGCGAACGCGCAAUAGCCUAAACCGAGAAGUUUACUUUUCGGGGUUGCGGGACUCCGUCUGGAGAGAACGAUGGUUAGCAGAAGGAACUGGAAAGUUCCGCCAUAGAGGGUGAAAGCCCCGUAAGCGAAAAUGAUCGAGUAUCCAGGAGUAUCCCAAGUAGGUCGAAACACGUGAAACUUUGACUGAAUCCGGGGGGACCACCCUCCAAGGCUAAAUACUAGCCAGUGACCGAUAGCGAAUAGUACCGUGAGGGAAAGGUGAAAAAGCACCCCUGUUAGGGGAGUGAAAAGUUCCUGAAAUCAUGUGUCUACAAAGUGUGGGAGCGCAAGCGACCGCAUGCCUUUUGCAUAAUGAGCCUGCGACUUACUCUAACGAGCGAGGUUAAGUUAAGAACGGAGCCGAAGCGAAAGCGAGUGUGAAUAGCGCGACUAGUUCGUUGGAGUAGACCCGAAGCUGGGUGAUCUAUCCAUGGCCAGGUUGAACCUCCGGUAACACGGAGUGGAGGACCGAACCAGUUCAUGUUGAAAAAUGUUUGGAUGAGCUGUGGAUAGGGGUGAAAGGCCAAUCAAACCCAGUGAUAGCUGGUUCUCUUCGAAAUAUCUUUAGGGAUAGCCUUGCGCAAUAAUUUACGGGGGUAGAUCACUGAUUGUUCGCGGGCCCUUACCGGGGUACCAACAACUAUCAAAAUCCGAAUACCGUAAAUCGUACCGCAGGAGUCAGACAGUGGGGGAUAAGCUUCAUUGUCGAAAGGGAGACAGCCCAGACCGCCGGUUAAGGUCCCAAAUUUAAGCUUAGUGGUUGAAGGAUGUGGAGUUGCAUAAACAGCCAGGAUGUUGGCUUAGAGGCAGCCAUCAUUUAAAGAGUGCGUAAUAGCUCACUGGUCGAGUGAUUCUGCGCCGAAGAUGAUCGGGACUGAAGCUUAAAACCGAAGCCGCGGAUUGUAACAAUCGUUACAGUGGUAGAAGAGCGUUGUAUGCGGGUCGAAGCCGAAGAGGGAUCUGAGGUGGACUGCAUACAAGUGACCAUGCAGGCAUGAGUAGCGAAAAACCGGAUGAGAAUUCCGGUCACCGAAAACCUAAGGAUUCCUGGGGAAGGUUCGUCCGCCCAGGGUUAGUCGGACCCUAAGGCGAGGCCGAAAGGCGUAGUCGAUGGACAACAGGUUAAUAUUCCUGUACUAUCUGAUCGUAGUGAUGGAGCGACGCAGUAUGCUAGAUGAGCCAACGAUUGAAAGUGUUGGUCGAAGCCAUUAAGGCGUGAUACAGUCAAAUGCGUAUCACAUAUGCCCCAGAGGUGUAAGGUAGUUGGAACGCAAGUUUCGACGAAUUUAUCGAUGCUACGCUGACGAGAAAAACUUCUAAGCGUUUGAUGAUCAGGUAUCCGUACCGUAAACCGACACAGGUAGGUGAGGCGAGAAGCCUAAGGUGCGCGAGAGAAACCACGUUAAGGAACUCGGCAAAUUGACCCCGUAACUUCGGAAUAAGGGGUGCCGUCAUGGUGUAGGGACUUGCUCCCCAAGCCUGCGACGGUUGCAACAAAGAGGCUGGUGCGACUGUUUAACAAAAACACAGCUCUCUGCUAACUCGUAAGAGGAUGUAUAGGGAGUGACACGUGACCAAUGCCAAAAGGUCAAGGGGAGAGGUUAGCGCAAGCGAAGCUUCAAACUGAAGCCCUGGUGAAUGUCGGCCGUAACUAUAACGGUCCUAAGGUAGCGAAAUUCCUUGUCGGGUAAGUUCCGACCUGCACGAAUCGUGUAACGAUGCCAGCACUGUCUCAACGUGGAUCUCGGCGAAGUUGUAAUUCCGGUGAAAAUGCCGGAUACCUGCGGAAGGACGGAAAGACCCCAUGAACCUUUACUGUAAUCUGAUAUUGGUAUUUGGUUAUGAUUGUGUAGCAUAGGUGGGAGGCUGUGAAGCCGCUACGCCAGUACCGGUGGAGCCACAGGUGAAAUACCACCCUGUUGUAAUUGAAUAUCUAACCCCGAACCGUGAAGCCGGUCAGGGAACAGUGUCAGAGGGUCAGUUUGACUGGGGCGGUUUCCUCCUAAAUCAUAACGGAGGAGCCCGAAGGUACACUCAACACGGUUGGCAAUCGUGUGCAGAGCGUAAGGGUAGAAGUGUGCUUUACUGU
rnacentral:rRNA from 1 species